rnacentral:sRNA from 1 species
UGAUCGCACCAUCCCGGCGUAGAGGCGGC